GUGCCCAUUGGAGCCAAUCAGCUGAGUACAUAAUACAGAAUGAGGAGGAAAGAGACCAGCUACGAAACACCAAAAAUAACUGCUUGGUGCACUGAUAAUUGCGUUAUUCUCUGCUUUUCCACCACUCGCAUUAGCUCUGGGGGAAGGAAACAUCCUGCUUCCCUAAGUCGAACACUUUAUUGCCAACCUGAAACGAUUUCAGGAUUGGCUUCCAGAGGUGGAAGCAGCACAGCCGCGUGCACAGCGUUGCAAGUGUGCAGACAGCGGGCUCUCAGCAUCCUGCAAUUCUCCUCAAGGUGAGACCUUCCCAGCCCCCGGCCCCAGCCCACGUGCGGAUCCCUGGUUACCCCCAUGCUCCGGUGUUGCCCAGCGCGGGCCUGGAGCAGCCAGGGAGCCACAGGGACCUGAAACAACACGCGUCUGUGUGUGACUCAGCAGGGGCUUCCCCGCAGCGUCUGGGCGCAGGAAGUUUACCUGGGAGGGGAGGCUGGAGAGGAGCCAGGGGGGGAGAGGCAGGGGGCUGCAGACCCCGGGAGACCUGUCCAGCCGCUGGACAGUAUGGGCAGCUCUGGGGCCAGGACGAGGAGUCUGAGUGCAGGCAGGAGCUCCUUCUGCAGCCCAGCAAAUCCUCCACUGGUCUGGGUGAUCAGAGGGGGCGCCUGCCCGCGGGGCUCACAGUGGCGUCCGUCCAGACUGUGCCUGCAGCCACCUCAACAGCCUUCAGGUCAGAUGGGCCACCUCUUCUGAUUGAGGCAACAGGAGGGUGAGCUGAUAGGUCCUCACCCCACGCUUGGCAAAUGCCAAGGGCCCGUCCCUGCAAACAAAGAACCAAGGUCAGUGGGUCAGGGAGGGAGGAAGAGCCUCCCUGAAACUGCCCCAGCUCCGCCCCUGGAUAGUGGGGGGCCAGGUCCACAAAGCUCCCGCCCCCGAAAAGACAGAGGUAACCGGCUCCCGGGAAGCAAGCGGCUGCCUGCCUGCCGGGGGCACAGAGGAGCUGCUGCCGGCUUGGCCUGGCGGGUCCGCACCUGAUGGGUCAGUAAUCCGGAGGGUGAGCCCCCUUCGUCUGUUCCUCAGAGAACAGGGCCACCCUUUCUGGCUUCACGGUAGCAGGAAGGAGUUCUGGGCCAGGUCUGGAUUGACAGCAGCUGCCUGGGGGUUAGGUUGAAGGCAGAACACUGAUUUCAGGCCAGGUCCUCUCUGCCGAGGAGGCAGUAGAAUUUUCUG
rnacentral:lncRNA from 1 species